CCUACGGGUGGCAGCAGUGAGGAAUAUUGGUCAAUGGCCGGAAGGCUGAACCAGCCAAGCCGCGUGAAGGACGAAGGUGCCAAGCAUUGUAAACUUCUUUUGUCAAGGGAUAAAAUCAGGCUCGAGAGCCUGACCGAGGGUACUUGAAGAAUAAGCAUCGGCUAACUCCGUGCCAGCAGCCGCGGUAAUACGGAGGAUGCGAGCGUUAUCCGGAUUUAUUGGGUUUAAAGGGUGCGUAGGCGGGCUGUUAAGUCAGCGGUAAAAGCCCGGGGCUCAACCCCGGCGGGACGUUGAAACUGGGUGUCUGGAGAUGUCGGGAGGUAGGCGGAAUGCGCAGUGUAGCGGUGAAAUGCUUGGAUAUUGCGCAGAACUCCGAUUGCGAAGGCAGCAUACCGGCGGCGAUCUGACGCUGAGGCACGAAAGCGUGGGUAGCAAACAGGAUUAGAUACCCGGGUAGUC
rnacentral:rRNA from 1 species